GGGCGAGAGUAGUACUAGGAUGGG
rnacentral:ncRNA from 2 species